UUCUAAACUAUAUGCAUUUCCUUACCUUUUGGGGGUGAAGCCAGACUUUUAGGCACCUGCUCCCCUACUUGGUGUAAACUUUGCUUGUACCAAUCAGAAACGAACACACACAGUUUUUGGGCCCCGUCCCCUAUGACACUUCUAUGAUGUCAUAGUGGGUAUUUUAGGCUGCCUCUCUCAGCUCACGUGUUUUAAGCAGAGUUUCUACGUUUGCCGGUCGUUAUGAGUUGGUUUGUAUUCAUAAGUAUUGGUUAUUACUAAAUGCUGCAUCUGUGUUUAUAAAUAUUGUUUACUGCAUCUUUGUUUAUAAAUAUUGUUUGAUAGUAAAUACUUUAGCCAUUGUAUGUUUUAAGUUCCAUUAACCCUAUUAGCUAAUCAUACGCUGCUCCCCUACCCCUUGUAACUAUCCCCAAUAAAACUUUAAAUUAAUUAAUUUUA